rnacentral:rRNA from 1 species
GGGUCGGACACGCUCCGCUAAACCCGCAGGCGCAAUGAAAGUGAAGGCCGCCCUUCAGCGGGGCCGAGGGAGGACGGGGGAUGCCAGAGGGCCCCCCGCACUCCCGGGGCGUCUGAUCCUCACUGCGAGGGAGGCGCGGCCC